UCCUGCCGCCGCGCCUGCGCGCCUGGGCUCUGCGCCCUGCGGCGCCUGGACGCGCGGCCUCCUCGGUUGUCUGAAUGAGGACUACAUAUGCCCGGGUGCAGGAGUCCCAGGGUGCCCCUGCGCACCACCAGGAUUUACUCCACAAACAUUGGGACGCCACCAGGUGCCAGGCCUGAAACCCCCCAAGGCCGCUGCUUUGUCCUCGCGGGGGUGGGGGGGAGGCGGUCUCUGAACUGGCAGUGCCCCUCCCCCACCGGAUUUCACAGGUGGGGGGACACGGCCCAGAGGCUUCUUUUUCUUCCUAAUUAGCAGCUUGACCGCCAACAUGAACAAACAACCCCAACCUGCUGUCCCCCCCUCCACUGUGACAGCUCUGAAAGGCCAAGGUGCACAAAGUCGACAGGCAAACCAGGCUUCCCUCACCGCCUCGCGCAGGAUCCAGCAGACCACAGGGAGCAGAGGGACCUCGUCUUGUUGACCUUUGCCCUCUAGCAUCUAUGUGGACAGACUAUAUCAUCUUGACAACCAACCCUUACACGAGGGUCCUACUGUGACCUCCAUUCACACUUGAGGAUACCAAGGUGCAGACAGUAACUUGCCCAGGGGUGCACGGCCAGGGUAAGAGUCGGGAUUCCCAGAAAUGACAUCCCCGCAGAUCUGCAGGAAUACAUAAUUCACAAGGGUUAGGAAAGAGUGCAUGGCAGAAGCAGCCACCUCUCCCUGACUUCUCAGUUAGUGGGAUUAUUUUGGUGAGAUGAGGUUUUGGAGUGUUCAAUGGACUCUGUUUGAUGGACUCUGAUAGUACCCAAGUUGAAUACUGGCUCCAACCUCCUGGCAAAUGCCUGAUGUCUCACUAUGUCUGUUUUCUCCUCUGUAAAAUGGGGCUAACACCCAUACAGUGCUUACAAUGCUUGGCACAGUGUGAGCCCCCAGUGAGAGCUGCUACCAUUAUUAGCACAUCAUCUGACACCAUCCACACGUGAGGUGGUGUCAUUACUAGUGUGAUAAAGUGAGGCAACCGUCCCUGAAGAUGCAACUAACCAACCACACGGGUGAUGCAAGGCCAGCAGCGGGCUCUGAAGCAGCUGCUCACUUCCCGCUCUCUGCAUUCGAAACACCACCAAGCUGGGGAUGCCAUCCAACUGGCUGCUUUCAAGAGAAACCAGGGAUAGGGACUUCCUUUCUGUACUGGACUGCUGCACAUAUAAAGCACUCCUGGGCAGCCAGAGCCAUCAAUGCCUAUGCUCAGAGCCUGUCAGGGUGGCAUCUGUAGUGGCAGAAGCAGCAGUCACAAGCAGAAGCCUGAGCACUGAACCCCUAGGACGGUUCCAAAGACACUUAGCUGUGAUGUCAGCACCCUGGGGUCUGGGGUCCAGGGUCAGGCCAGAGGCCUGUCUCUGCAUUUGAGUGCACCAAGCAUCCCUCGGUAACAGGGUCACUCAGCACCCACCCUGCUCUUGCCGGUACGGGCAUUUGUGAAGCAAUUAUGCGACAGUAUUUAUAGAAUCACAGCAAAAGGUGACAACCAUCAGGUGCCCGCCUGUGAUUAGGUAAAUCAAGAGGAAAGGGUGUCUGUAUGCACCAACUCAUGUUCUGUACCAACCUCAGGUACACGUAUGAAGGGAGCCAUCCUAGACACAGGUGUCACUUCCUAUCAGUCAGCAUAAGGACUCGAUAAAAAUGGUGUUGAGGUGGCUGGCCAACUAUCUGGGAAAAAAAUACAGCCAAAUUCUUAAUCCUCAAUCCUUGUAUACAACAUAUAUGCUUCAAAGAUGAACUUUACAUAAACUAUAUGGGUGCUUGAAAAACAUGGCAGACUUUUAUACUCUUAAGGUGGAGAAAGCAUUUUAAAACACACCUAUACAUCCCAGAAACAAUAAAGAAAAAUGUAAUGAAACAAAAUUUAAAUACCUCUGUAUGGAACCCACUUCUCCUGUCCCCAGAUAAAAGGGACACAAGCUAAUAAAAAAUAAGUACUUGUCUCAAAUAACCAAAGUUGAGUGUUAUUAAUAGCUUAUAGAAUGGUGAGAAAAUAGAUGCUCAACUUCAAAAAUAGGCCCUAAAGGACCUCUUCUUUUCCAUGAUGUUUGUGACAUUGUGACAUGCAGCAGUAGGCAUUCCAGAGGUUAGAAUUUCCCUUCGAGACCAAUGCAUGAGAUACAAGGGAUCUUCAAAAAGUUCACGGAAAAGUCGUAUCAUGAAAAACCUAUGAAUUGAUUUCAAAAUACUUUUGCACCAAAAUAAACUCAUACUAACUUAUUAUAACAUGUCUGAAUAGGAUCUAGUUUGAGGCUGGAAGGAUAAGACAUUAGUUUGAAAAGAGCCCUAUCAGACCAGCAUGAAUGCUACUAAAAUUGAAGACCAAAUUUAUGGUGAAGCUUAGAUAGAAGAAUGGUGAAAUUCUUGAGUUGCUUUUCAGAAAGUUUAUGGGGACAAUCUCCCAAGAAUCAGCAGUUUACCAAUAGAUAACUUGUUUUAAGAAUGUGUGAGAUGAUGUUGCUGAUGAUGCCUAUAGCAGCAGAUCAUCCACAUCAAUUUUUUGAGGGAAAAAAAUCUUGCUUGCGCCCUCAGGCAGACAAUAGCAACACUGCACAUAUCUCAUCUGGUUCACCUUACACCAUUCUGACUGAAAAACUAAAGGUGAGCAAAGUUUCUGCUUGAUGGGUCCAGAUCAGCUACAGCCAAAAGCAGAACUUCCAAAGGAAAUUUUAAACAAGUGGGAUCCUCCAGUAUUUCUUUGAAGAACUGUACAGGAGGUAAAACAUGGCUUUGCCAGUACGGUGUUGAAAUCAGAGCACAGUCCAAGCAAUGGCUAACAAAAGGUAGACGUGGUCCACUCAAAGCAAAUGUGGACCAGUCAAGAGCAAAAGUCAUGGCAACAGUCUUGGGGGAUAUUUAAGGCAUUUUGCUUGUUGAUUAUCUGGAGGAAUAAAGAAUGAUAACAUCUGCUUAUUGAGGGUGUUUUGAGAAAGUUAGCCAAAGCUUUAGCAGAAAAACUGGGAGAGCUUCACGAGACUCCUUUUUCACCAUGACAACACUCCUGUUCACUCCUCUCAUCACAGAGAUUUUUGGAGAGUUUUUACAGAAAAUGAUUAUAGUCCUGAUUUGGUUCCUUCUGACUUCGUUUCCUAAUCUUAAAAAAAAAUCUGUAAAGGGCACCCAUUUUUCCUCAGUUAAUAAUGUAAAAAAGGCUGCGUGGAUAUGGCUAAGUUCCCAGGACCCUUAGUUCUUUAGGGAUGGACUAAAUGGCUGGUAUCAUCAUUGACAAAGUGCCUUGAACCUGAUGGAGCUUAUGUUGAGAAAUGCAGUUUAUAUUUUAUCUUUUAAUUCCACUUUCCCAUGAAUUUUCUGAAGUUUCUUUGUACAUGUUUAAGGAUGUCCAUAGAAAAAUAUUCAGAUACCAAAUAAACAAAAAAAAUUCUAAAUGUUUUAUCAAUGAGGAACAUGUAAAUUUAUACAAUAGAAUACAGCUAUGAAAAUAAUUAUGUAGCUCUAUAAUUAUUGACAUGAAAAAGACAUCUGAGUAAAUACCUAUUUCUGAAGUUACAGAAGAAUAGGUACAGUACCCUCUUAAUGUACAUUUCUCUAUGUUAUGUACCUAUCAUACACACUGUACAGUCAGGUGUCUGAACAAUGUUAGUAUUUACUGUCUCAGGAUGAUGGAAGUACAGAUGAUUUUUCCUUUUCUCUUACAUCUUUAAAAAUACUGGUUUCUUUUUUACAGUUAACAUCAAUCAUGAUAACAUAUAUAUAAGUUUUAUUUUUUCAGAAGAAAAGAAUGAAUGAGCUUUGCCUACCAUCUAGGGACAAAAAUGCUGUGUUUUCUUUUGCAAGACAGACUGAGCAGUAACAGUUCCUAUGUGUACUGUGGGGUGGGUGGGGAAGGCCAACCCAUUUCUCAGCAGCUCCCCCACCCCCACCUUCUCCUCAGGCAGAAAGCGGGCACAACUGCAUUUUCAGCGCCACCUGAGGGAGAGCUUAAUGAUCUCCAUCCGGAACAAUGUGACCUUGGCACUUGCUAUCUUCCACUGAUGCUUAUAAUUAAGAAGCUGGGGUUCUUUACAUAAAAAUCUUUACUAUGAUAAAUAAAAACAACAAACUGUUUUUAAAAUUUUUAUUUGGUGUUAACUCCACAAGAAAAAAAAAUCAGUUACUCUGGUGUACGUGAAAUCAGAACAAUACAACCACGGGGGGGGAAAAAAAUCUCAGCCCAGGAAUGGAAACUGAUACUUCAGUGCUAUGGAUAUGCAAUGCGCUUCAUACCACAGUGCGUUUCAGCGUUUGCCAACUUUUUUUAAUGCUUUUUCUUUGUGAUCAUCAUCCAUUCACAAAACUAAAAACCACACUUUCAACUCUGUUGCUGAAGGCCUCUCAGCUUCAGCUAUUAACUAUGAAAA